AGACCGGUGGAGUCACUCUGCCCCUCCUCGCCCCUGAAGUGCGCCUUCUGCCAAUCCGGAUGCCGCUUGGCAGUGAUAGGCGCCAGCGAGUGGCCAAUGAGAAGAAGGCCACUGCCGCGAGUGGGCGUGUCCACACCCCCUCUCCCUCCUCUGCGCGGUCCUCCAGCCCGCCCGACUCAGGUCACUUUUUGGCAGGGUGAAUGUAACUGGUGAGAGUGUUACUCUACAUACUGUGGGAUCGAACUCAGGACCUUGCGCUUGUGAGGCAGGCAGCAGAACCACUGUCCCACGACUUUUCAUGGUGUGAAAAGAUUUUUAUUUGUUCUUUAAUGUUCUUUAUUG